rnacentral:rRNA from 1 species
AUUGAACGCUGGCGGAAUGCUUUACACAUGCAAGUCGAACGGCAGCACGGGGGCAGCCCUGGUGGCGAGUGGCGAACGGGUGAGUAAUACAUCGGAACGUGCCCGGUCGUGGGGGAUAACGUAGCGAGAGUUACGCUAAUACCGCAUACGAUCUGAGGAUGAAAGCGGGGGACCUUCGGGCCUCGCGCGAUCGGAGCGGCCGAUGUCAGAUUAGGUAGUUGGUGGGGUAAAGGCCUACCAAGCCGACGAUCUGUAGCUGGUCUGAGAGGACGACCAGCCACACUGGGACUGAGACACGGCCCAGACUCCUACGGGAGGCAGCAGUGGGGAAUUUUGGACAAUGGGCGCAAGCCUGAUCCAGCCAUUCCGCGUGCAGGACGAAGGCCUUCGGGUUGUAAACUGCUUUUGUACGGAACGAAAAGGCUCUGGCUAAUACCUGGGGCUCAUGACGGUACCGUAAGAAUAAGCACCGGCUAACUACGUG